UUACGAUGGCGACCGGCGCACGGGUGAGUAACACGUAUCCAACCUGCCGAUGACUCGGGGAUAGCCUUUCGAAAGAAAGAUUAAUACCCGAUGGCAUAGUUCUUCCGCAUGGUAGAACUAUUAAAGAAUUUCGGUCAUCGAUGGGGAUGCGUUCCAUUAGGUUGUUGGUGGGGUAACGGCCCACCAAGCCUUCGAUGGAUAGGGGUUCUGAGAGGAAGGUCCCCCACAUUGGAACUGAGACACGGUCCAA
rnacentral:rRNA from 1 species